CAUAUCAAUAAGCGGAGGAAAAGAAACCAACAGGGAUUGCCCUAGUAACGGCGAGUGAAGCGGCAACAGCUCAAAUUUGAAAUCUGGCUCUUUUAGGGUCCGAGUUGUAAUUUGCAGAGGGCGCUUUGGCGUUGGCAGCGGUCCAAGUUCUUUGGAACAGGACGUCACAGAGGGUGAGAAUCCCGUACGUGGUCGCUAGCCUUCGCCGUGUAAAGCCCCUUCGACGAGUCGAGUUGUUUGGGAAUGCAGCUCUAAAUGGGAGGUAAAUUUCUUCUAAAGCUAAAUACUGGCCAGAGACCGAUAGCGCACAAGUAGAGUGAUCGAAAGAUGAAAAGCACUUUGGAAAGAGAGUCAAAUAGCACGUGAAAUUGUUGAAAGGGAAGCGCUUGCAGCCAGACUUGCCUGUAGUUGCUUAUCCGGACUUUUGUCCGGUGCACUCUUCUGCGGGCAGGCCAGCAUCAGUCUAGGCGGUUGGAUAAAGGUCUCUGUCAUGUACCUCUCUUCGGGGAGGCCUUAUAGGGGAGACGACAUGCAACCAGCCUGGACUGAGGUCCGCGCAUCUGCUAGGAUGCUGGCGUAAUGGCUGUAAGCGGCCCGUCUUGAAACACGGACCAAGGAGUCUAACAUCUAUGCGAGUGUUUGGGUGUCAAGCCCAGACGCGUAAUGAAAGUGAACGGAGGUGGGAACCCUUUGGGUGCACCAUCGACCGAUCCUGAUGUCUUCGGAUGGAUUUGAGUAAGAGCAUGGCUGUUGGGACCCGAAAGAUGGUGAACUAUGCUUGAAUAGGGUGAAGCCAGAGGAAACUCUGGUGGAGGCUCGCAGCGGUUCUGACGUGCAAAUCGAUCGUCAAAUUUGGGCAUAGGGGCGAAAGACUAAUCGAAC
rnacentral:rRNA from 1 species